UGCAGGCUGCUGCGGCUCUGUCGGCUGCGGUUCAGCAACCGCGGGCUGCGGUUCAGCAACCGCGGGCUGCGGUUCAGCAACCGCGGGCUGCGGC
rnacentral:tRNA from 1 species